rnacentral:rRNA from 2 species
UGCAGUCGAACGAGUUCUGAUUAUUGAAUGGUGCUUGCAUCUUGAUUUAAUUUAGAACGAGUGGCGGACGGGUGAGUAACACGUGGGUAACCUGCCCUUAAGUGGGGGAUAACAUUUGGAAACAGAUGCUAAUACCGCAUAAAUCCAAGAACCGCAUGGUUCUUGGCUGAAAGAUGGCGUAAGCUAUCGCUUUUGGAUGGACCCGCGGCGUAUUAGCUAGUUGGUGAGGUAACGGCUCACCAAGGCAAUGAUACGUAGCCGAACUGAGAGGUUGAUCGGCCACAUUGGGACUGAGACACGGCCCAAACUCCUACGGGAGGCAGCAGUAGGGAAUCUUCCACAAUGGACGCAAGUCUGAUGGAGCAACGCCGCGUGAGUGAAGAAGGCUUUCGGGUCGUAAAUCUCUGUUGUUGGAGAAGAAUGGUCGGCAGAGUAACUGUUGUCGGCGUGACGGUAUCCAACCAGAAAGCCACGGCUAACUACGUGCCAGCAGCCGCGGUAAUACGUAGGUGGCAAGCGUUAUCCGGAUUUAUUGGGCGUAAAGCGAGCGCAGGCGGUUUUUAAAGUCUGAUGUGAAAGCCCUCGGCUUAACCGAGGAAGUGCAUCGGAAACUGGGAAACUUGAGUGCAGAAGAGGACAAUGGAACUCCAUGUGUAGCGGUGAAAUGCGUAGAUAUAUGGAAGAACACCAGUGGCGAAGGCGGCUGUCUGGUCUGUAACUGACGCUGAGGCUCGAAAGCAUGGGUAGCGAACAGGAUUAGAUACCCUGGUAGUCCAUGCCGUAAACGAUGAAUGCUAGGUGUUGGAGGGUUUCCGCCCUUCAGUGCCGCAGCUAACGCAUUAAGCAUUCCGCCUGGGGAGUACGACCGCAAGGUUGAAACUCAAAGGAAUUGACGGGGGCCCGCACAAGCGGUGGAGCAUGUGGUUUAAUUCGAAGCAACGCGAAGAACC